rnacentral:lncRNA from 1 species
UUUAGUUCUUGGGCUUGAAUUUUGUUUCUUCUAUCCUUUCAUCCAUUGUUUUUUUUUUGUUUUAAAAUUGGUUUCUUAAUUUCUUGACAAGUUUUGUAUCAUGGUAAAGAAUCAAGAUUCCAUGUCUACUGUUGAUUUCAAUCACCCUUUAUAUUCAUACCUACCUAAUAUAUCUAAUGCUCUUUUAGUCUCUUAUUAGCUUCUUUAAG